UUUGUUUCCCCUGGAAUUGAAAUUAAACCGCUCUGGAGCUGGAAACCAGCAACUCUUGAAAAUCACUGCCAGCAGAGCAGGCCAGGAGGAGAAAAAAUACAGUAUCCCAAAAGUGAGCUACACGGAAUAGUAAAAAUCCAUAAAGAAGAAGGAAAUUGACAUGCCAGAGCAAAGCUCAGAACUAGGAAGGGUUGAUGCUGAUCAUGGACACUGUACUCCCCAAAAGGAGUCAGGCUUCAGCCCUGGGAUUCUGUGCUGAAGGAGCCUGUGUCACACCUGCUGGCCUCUUCUUCCACAUUUCAUCUGGCAAAACACAGGGCCUCAGAAACUCUUCACUGGCAUAUAGAGAUGCCAUCUGCCAACAGCAGUGUCAGGACAAGAGGACUCUACCCUUUCAAGACAAAGAGUUCAAUGCUGAACCUUAAAUCCGAGCCUUCUGCUCUUGCCAGUGGGACAAAUUCCACUUUUUUUCCCAGUUCAUCUGUAAAACAUGAGGAGCCAGCUGAGCAUAGUGUUGGUUCAGAAUGAGAGCAGCUGACAAGGGAAAGGUAAAAGGAACUUGUAACUGCUGCAGUUCUAAGAAAUUAUUUCAGUGUGACAAAAAAAUCUAACAACUUCCAAAGGAUGCAGGAAGGCACUAGGACAUCAUCCAACAUUCCCUAACAUAGCAGCCUCCAAGGUAUAAUUAAUGCAUUUAAACACAGGCCACCAACUCCUGUUGUCUCGUGUUUUCUAGAGGUGCCUGAUCCUGUUGUCCUCUCAUGCUUGGUUACAAAGGGCUGCAAACAAGGAGGAGGCAGCUCUGAGAGUGGGAGCAGAGUUAAUGGUCAGAACUUGGGUGCAGGUGGAAAAGCAGGACAUGAAAGAGAAGCUUGGAUAGAAAAAGUCCUGGACCUACUGCUUUAGCUUACACAUAAGAUGUUGGGGGUAUUUUGGGGGGUGAAUUCUAACUCGCAUGCUCUUUUAUAUAUGUUGCAGACCGCUGUGUGUUACUUUGAUUCAGGGACCAUGAUACCCAAAGCCUGCUCUUCAUACACAAGGUACCUUCCAAAUGUUCCUUCGUUCUCAGAGACUUAGAAAAUUAAUCUUCAAGGCAAACUGUAAAAGACCAGAUCAUGAGCAGCGUGUGGAGCUGCCCAUGGAGCACCCUGCUCCUCUCUGGCUACACCUCCUCCUCCAACCCUAGCUGUUUCUCCAUCUCCUUAACACAGAGAGGUAGAAUGGCACAAAGCAUUUCCCAGGGAAUUGUCCCCAUUAAUAGUGACAACAGUGCUGAAGUGGAGCCUGAAUCCCAUCAGCGGGAAAGCCCCCUCACAUCCAGACAGCAGCACUGAUCAGAGAGUCUGGGACUCCCAGGAUGUUACAGUGUGCUAUUAGAGAGGGAUAUUCAGAAACAGUCUAAUUAGUUGCAUUUUCUUUUCUAACCUCAGUCAAAAACCAGUCAGAUUCUGCUUUAGAUUUUGACAUCCUAUUAAAUGCAGAACACAGGCCAAUAGCUUUCAUUUUCCCCUGUGAUGCUACAGACUCCUGUUUUUAUAGUUUGACAGAGAGACAUAAUUAGGCCUCAGAAAGGACAAGUCUAGACUAUUAGUUCCCCACAGAGGCUCCCUGGAAAGUCAGAACCCACAAUUAUUCUCCACUUUCCCACUGAGGCAAAUUUGUGGGUAUCUAUCUGCUCUCCUGCCUCUGAUACCCUGCUCAUAACCUUUAAGCCUGUGACUUUACACUCUGUUCUCUUAAAGGGCACAACAACAGACAGGUGUUGGACUUUCCAAAGGGACAAGAGCAAGCAUGUUCCUUGCCUGUGUGAGAUGGCAAACCUUCUCAAGACUAUUUUGCCACAUGGAAAGCCCUGGAUACUUGGUACCACAGAAAUGAGUCAAAAUUCUGGGCAGAGCUUAUCUGCUUCUCAACAAGUGCAAUUAAAUGUUUUCCAUUUCUAAUAAGCAAGGAUUAGUCUUCACUUUGGGUUACCACCCCCCUACUAGGUUGCAGGAGGAACCAAAUCACUCUAUCAGCCAGUGGUGUGCAGCUGCUAAAUAUCCCCAUCACUGACACUGGCACCUUUUCCAAGCCAAAAGGGCAUCGACCAUGGAGAGCUGUGCAGAUGCUGACUGCAGCACAGCACCCUGUAAGCACUCAAUUAGCCUGGCCACUUGUGCUCAACAUCUCAAGCACACAGUGGAAGUAAAAUGCUUACACAAUCCCUCUGCCUACAAGGCCUUGAAAUCUUUAUGGGGCCUGGCUUUGCUGCCUGGUUUUCCACUGACAGGCUGAUGGAGACAUCACAAAUCUCUCCAAAUCACUAGGCUUCUUUCAACAUCAAAGGUGUCAAUGUUCACUCUGCCUCGGAGCCUGGGGCAAUAUAAAUCACACUUGAAUAUGUGAACUGAGUGUCUGAGGUUAAACUCUCUGUAUAUACAAAUAUUUCUCCUUGGGUAACUGAUAUUAUUGUACUGUUUCUUCAUCAACAUUAAAUAUUUUCUAUAAAUCGUAAUAUUCCAAUGGAAAACAAAGCCUUACAGGUGAAAAAAGGGGGAAAAAGGGAUGAACGAGGGUGUUGUGGGAAGAGAAUAACUCAUUUGAAAUAUACAUUGCCAUUAUUUUGGAAGAAAA